UUUAGAGACGAGAUUAUGUGCUGGCCCGUAAUUGUCUAUUUUUCAGGGAAGAAUCUUAAUUACGUCCCAAAAUAAAUUAAGAUCUGGUCCUAAAAAGAUAACCAAGAAUAAAUAUAACACUAAUAUAACAACUCUUUUGCGAAAGAAAGAGUCCGCUCAUCUCUCUUUCUCCAUUGAAAAAAAUUCCUUAACCCUAGCCCCUCAAUCUAACAAUUAUUCUUCAAUGUUUCUCCCAAAUACAAAAUUAAAACCGUCCAAGACUGUACUGGUGUUUUUCUUCCAUCGUUUCAUGUCUCUCUUAGUCAUUUGAUAGUUUUGACAGGUUUGGGGAAAAUUAGGACUGGAAAUCGACUAUUUUGACCCAGAGAACACCGUUACUUCGCCGAUUUUCAGGUUUCCUUGGUGACCCAUUAAUCUUUUUGAAUGUUGCUUUUCCUAAGAGUAAUAAGGGUAAUGACAGUCACUAUACAACAAUGGCAAAUCCGGUGGUGUGCCACUCACCGUGACAGCCUCGAUGAUUUUGCUGGAUAACACCUAAUGAAUUUAUUAGAUUGCUUUUGGGGUUUUGAAGAUUGAAUUUGACAAGACAAGAUGGAAGUUUAGAAGAUGCACAAGCUCAUUAUUUUGCUAGGAAUGUUAUGCACUCGCUAUCGUAGUCUAGCUCGAGUGUUAGCAACGUUUUUUUGUUAAGGUGUCGAGCAAAUAUUGAAACUAACAUCAUGGGAUGUUAACAAUUUUACUGUAAUUAAUAACUCUUGUCUUCCUCUUUAUAUAUAUAUAACGCUUUUGUAUCUA